CCCGAUGACGAUGGAUUAACCGACUGAUACAUGAUGACAUCGGCCUUGACCGAGG
rnacentral:snoRNA from 1 species